rnacentral:tRNA from 1 species
GCCUGGGUGGCUCAGUCGGUUGAGCGUCCGACUUCAGCUCAGGUCACGAUCUCGCAGUCUGUGAGUUCGAGCCCCGCGUCAGGCU